ACCGAGACGGUAGCACAGUUGGCGAGAGCGUUGUUGUGUGGUAAUCUAUCUCGCCUGAGUUCGAGUCUCAGCUGCGGCA